rnacentral:lncRNA from 1 species
ACCUGGUAUGUGUAUAGCUGCACAUAUAUAAUGGGCAUGUGUUGGUUCAUUCUGCUGUAGUGCCUUGAAACUCGGUAAACAGUUUCAGACACAUAUUCAAGGACAAGGUUAAGGUAGACUUCAUUCUUCUCAGUGGUAGAAUAGAAGCAGUGUCUUAAUUUAACAGCAUUAGGAUGAUCAAGCGUGCGCAUAAUCUGAAGUUCUCUAUAAACAGUUUCAGACACGUAUUCCAGGACAAGGUUAAGAUAGACUUCAUUCUUCUCAGUAGUAGAAUAGAAGCAGUGUCUUAGUUUAACAACAUUAGGAUGAUCAAGCGUGCGCAUGAUCUGAAGUUCCCUGUUCUUGUAUCUCCUAUCCUGUAAGACUUUCUUUAUUGCUACAGAUUCACC